CGCAGAGGCUGACCAGCAACUUGACACACUGACCGGCUGUGGUAACUGUAAUUGUCUCACUCAACACACUGAGAUAUAAUAGUCGACACAUUUGCGUUACAUCGCGUUCAUCUGAACGAGGAACAAAGAUGAACAUUAAAAUUGUGUUGUUGGUGUUGGUGGUGGUGUUGGGGAUGGUGUUGGGAGCACCACAACUCAUCACCGGAAAGAGAGACUUCCCCGGCCAGAGACGUCUUGGUUCGACAAAUUACCGCAGCCACCACUUUGGCAGGAACGGAUACAAGGCAGUGCCCGUAGCAAGACAGAGCGAUGUGAGACAGGAAAGUGAUGAAUAGCGUCUGCUGCUCCUUAAGCGCUCAUCAAUCUGCAGUAUCUGCUGGUCCUUUACGCUUAUGGCCUAAAAGUCGUGAUGCACUACCGUGUCAGGAAACACUUGUUCUGUUUCCUGGCAAACCUGACCUAACCUAACCUGAUCUAAGCCUCCCCUUCAAAAACACUGUUUAGACCACACGAGUAAUUGUAUGAAAUUAGGUGUGUGUGUACUCACCUAGUUGUACUCACCUAGUUGAGGUUGCGGGGGUCGAGUCCGAGCUCCUGGCCCCGCCUCUUCACUGAUCGCUACUAGGUC